GACGAACGCUGGCGGCGUGCUUAACACAUGCAAGUCGAGCGGUAAGGCCCUUUCGGGGGUACACGAGCGGCGAACGGGUGAGUAACACGUGGGUGACCUGCCCUCAGCUCUGGGAUAAGCCUGGGAAACCGGGUCUAAUACCGGAUAUGACUCCAUGACGCAUGUUGUGGGGUGGAAAGCCUUGUGCGGCUGAGGAUGGGCCCGCGGCCUAUCAGCUUGUUGGUGGGGUGAUGGCCUACCAAGGCGACGACGGGUAGCCGGCCUGAGAGGGCGACCGGCCACACUGGGACUGAGACACGGCCCAGACUCCUACGGGAGGCAGCAGUGGGGAAUCUUGCGCAAGUGGGCGAAAGCCUGACGCAGCGACGCCGCGUGAGGGAUGACGGCCUGG
rnacentral:rRNA from 1 species